GCCGCUGUGCGACAAUGGUACUCGAGCUGGCUUGAGACCAGUGCCCUUUGGGCUUCCCGGUUCGAUUCCGGGCAGCGGCG
rnacentral:tRNA from 1 species